UCUGGGGUGCCGUGCCUGGAAGGCAGGAGGUUGGCUGAAGAAGACAUCUUUUACAAACAUUUAGGAAGUGAGAUGGGGAGGUUCCUUCCUGAUUUAGAAUUAAUUGAAGGUUCCUCCCGCCAUUUGAAUUGGAUGAGAAGAACGGUCUUUGUUUUCAUGGCUGAGACAUAAGAGAACAAGCUUGUAAUUUCAUGCUUGGGCAUUAGAUGCAUUUUUGGAAAGCAGUGAUCAUGUCCACUCCACACUCAUUCAUAAAAGGCAAUGUGCUGUCCUGCAAAGAAGACUGGACUGUGAGACAGGAGAUGAGAGAAUAUCUAAUAUUUUUCUGUGUUUAUUCUCUGCUAUUCAGUGUUAAAUUACUCCUUACAGCACAGUGGAGUCUCACUCUGUCACCCAGCCUGGAAUACAG
rnacentral:lncRNA from 1 species